CGCGGCCUAUCAGCUUGUUGGUGAGGUAAAGGCUCACCAAGGCAUCGACGGGUAGCUGGUCUGAGAGGACGAUCAGCCACACUGGGACUGAGACACGGCCCAGACUCCUACGGGAGGCAGCAGUAGGGAAUCUUGCACAAUGGGCGGAAGCCUGACGCAGCAACGCCGCGUGGGGGAUGAAGGCCUUCGGGUUGUAAACCCCUUUCACCUGGGACGAAAAUGACGUGACCUGCAUGGGAAAGGAAGGCCCACUACGUGCCAUGCCACGCACUAAUACUGAUACGACCAAGUGCGAUCCGGAAUUAUAGUUAUUGGAGAGCUCGGGCUCGGUUCUGGUUGAUCGGUGUGAAAAUGCAAUCUUGAGCCUUGGGACUCCACCCGAUUCUGAUGUGACUUGACUUGGGGAAAGGAGGGUGGAAUUCCUGUCGUGGCGGAGAAAUGGAAUGAUAUCAUGACGAACAGAACUGGCGAGGGCGGUUC
rnacentral:rRNA from 1 species